ACGCGCUGCCUUUGAGCCCCCGGCGUCCUUCCUCGUGGUGCCGGGGGUUAAGCUGCGGCGCCAUAGCAAUUGCUAGCGCAUAACUGGGGCUGCCUGCCCAUCAUGGGCGGCCCUUUUAACUGCUAGGUACAGGC
ensembl:snoRNA predicted gene, 26047